rnacentral:rRNA from 1 species
GACAGAGGUGCCGAGCGUUAGGCGGAAUCACUGGGCUUAAAGCGUGUGUAGGCAGAUGCCUAAGUACCUUGUGAAAUCCCACGGCUUAACCGUGGAACUGCUCGGUAUACUGGGUAUCUUGAGCCACUUAGGGGCGACCGGAACAAACGGUGGAGCGGUGUAAUGCGUAGAUAUCGUUUGGAACGCCAAUGGUGAAAACAGGUCGCUGGGAGUGUGCUGACGCUGAGACACGAAAGCCAGGGGAGCGAACGGG